rnacentral:lncRNA from 1 species
UCCCUUUUCUCUUGAAUUUUUUUUAGACCUUUUCUUUUCAUUAUCCUCUCAUUCUCAUGUCUAAACCAAGCCAAAAAAAUGGGACAUCGAACCAUGGACUAGCGCCCCCUUUUUAUAGGAAACAAUGGGGCAUACCAUGGAACGCCAACUCUUGGCAUCCCUUAAUUCUUACAUGCCACCUAUUAAUAUUUGCACAGAAUCCCAUGGGUUAAGGCAUAGAAAAAGAGGUGUUUCAUCUACAAAAAGACUCUUCCUCUACUAAAAAAAUCUGAAUGCCAUAAUAUGGUGCGAGGGAGAU